rnacentral:tRNA from 1 species
GGUGGCGUGUCCGAGCGGCCGAAGGUGCAACUCUCGAAAAGUUGUGUUGGCGUAAGUCAACCGUGGGUUCAAAUCCCACCGCCACCGCCA